UACGUAGGGGGCAAGCGUUGUCCGGAUUUAUUGGGCGUAAAGAGCGUGUAGGCGGCCAGGUAGGUCCGUUGUGAAAACUCGAGGCUCAACCUCGAGAUGUCGAUGGAAACCGUCUGGCUAGAGUCCGGAAGAGGAGUGUGGAAUUCCUGGUGUAGCGGUGAAAUGCGCAGAUAUCAGGAAGAACACCUAUGGCGAAGGCAGCACUCUGGGACGGUACUGACGCUGAGACGCGAAAGCGUGGGGAGCGAACAGG
rnacentral:rRNA from 1 species